UUGUUUGAUAUCAUUGUUUAACUUCAAGACUAAGAUACAAUUUUACAAAAAUAACCUUAAUAAAAUAAAAAAAAUUGCAACAUCAUCCUACCACCUACCAUUCUGCAAACUUCUCCCCCAAAACCCUCUUCACGAAUUUUCUAGCAGAACUUCAAUAGAAACACCUCAACAAUCACAAAGGGUCAAGUCUUUCUAGCAGAACUCAUCACCAUUACCCACAAACCAAAAAUAACCUUUUCGUCUUUCUCACCAUUUUACCGACUUUGUCAAGUCUAUUUCUCCUAGCCUAGAAAAAAUCACAAAAUUUAUGCAGAAGACGCGAAUGGGUCAAUCAGCUUCAACGUCGAGGCCCACACCCUCGUCGGUGUUCGAUGGAAUCCUUGUAGCCUUACCUCCAACUCCGACGAUGCCGUUUAUGGGUCUGACUUCACAUUGGGAUCUCCCAGCUGAGUGCUUGGCUCUAAUUUUCCACUCACUCUCCGCCGGUGACCGGAAGCAUACUCCACACAAAGAAGGAAUGGGUCCCGACGAGUAUUUCUCGACACGAAGAAGGAAUGGGGAAUCGUACUCCACACGAAGAAGGAAGG
rnacentral:lncRNA from 1 species